rnacentral:lncRNA from 1 species
GAACUCAGCUGGGCUCACGCUGCUGCUGCCAGAGUGACAGCUGCUGCUUCACUAAGAACAUCUGAGACUGCCAGAGGGGGUGAGAGGGAAGAUCGGGGCAAGAGUCCAGCCCUGCACAGAUCCAUUGCUACCACUGAACUUGUGGGGCUCCCAGAACAGCAUAACAACUGGUAUUUGGAUGGUCAAGGGAUAAAAACUCUCCUUUGAAACUUACAGAACAAUUUU